AUUAAAAACCAAUGCCCUUCGGGGCUCUCUGGUGAUUCAUAAUAACUUCUCGAAUCGCACGGCCUUGCGCCGGCGAUGGUUCAUUCAAAUUUCUGCCCUAUCAACUUUCGACGGCUGGGUCUUGGCCAGCCGUGGUGACAACGGGUAACGGAGGGUUAGGGCUCGACCCCGGAGAAGGAGCCUGAGAAACGGCUACUACAUCCAAGGAAGGCAGCAGGCGCGCAAAUUACCCAAUCCCGACACGGGGAGGUAGUGACAAUAAAUACUGAUACAGGGCUCUUUCGGGUCUUGUAAUUGGAAUGAGUACAAUUUAAAUCCCUUAACGAGGAACAAUUGGAGGGCAAGUCUGGUGCCAGCAGCCGCGGUAAUUCCAGCUCCAAUAGCGUAUAUUAAAGUUGUUGAGGUUAAAAAGCACGUAGUUGAACCUUGGGCCUAGCCGGCCGGUCCGCCUCACCGCGUGCACUGGCUCGGCUGGGUCUUUCCUUCUGGAGAACCGCAUGCCCUUCACUGGGUGUGCC
rnacentral:rRNA from 1 species